CUAUGGAGAAAGGAAGAAAAAAAUUUUUUUUAAUGUAGUCAAGAAAUCACUCAACACCAAGAAUGAACAGAACUGGUGUGAAGGUGACCCAUGGAUGUCGUAUCUCAACUACCUUUUUGGCAGCACACCUCUUCAGUAGCUAAGCUGCUCAGCUGUAAGCCUAUGAAGUCAGGCCAACAUGGGCCAGUGUCACAUCUGAGGGACCAAACUCACUCCUUAAAUAACAUUUUGAAGAUGUGUGGAUCAUCAUCUUUGGAGACAAUGCCAUUGGGAGCAGCAGCAUCUUGCUUAGGCAGCCUACACCUCUGAACACGCUGCGCUCACGGAAUGAGUGCCAAACAGGUGUGUGCUUCUGCAUCCAGGACCUCCCCCCACCCUUUUAUUUUUCUCCUGGUCUUUCUUUAUGUAUUCUGGAUGUAUAUUCAGAACCUACAGGAUGUGGAAAGAAACCUCAUCCUCUGGCAAGGGUUUGGAGGGGAAGGAGUGGGUGUAGUGAUCCAGGAGACGUUUCAAAAUAUAUGCUAAACAAAAGGCCCGGAGAAACACUGGCAGCGGGUGGGGGGAAGUGGGGAGUGACCUAACAGGUCUCUUGGAUUCUUAAUUUCUGUACUUCUCGGCUCCGUGGAGCCUCUGUGCUCCCCGCUGUGUGCAUCUGCUGUCUGCCUGCACUGGACCUCCC
rnacentral:lncRNA from 12 species